rnacentral:rRNA from 1 species
GUAGGUGGCAAGCGUUGUCCGGAAUUAUUGGGCGUAAAGCGCGCGCAGGCGGUUCUUUAAGUCUGAUGUGAAAGCCCACGGCUCAACCGUGGAGGGUCAUUGGAAACUGGAGAACUUGAGUACAGAAGGGGAAAGCGGAAUUCCACGUGUAGCGGUGAAAUGCGUAGAGAUGUGGAGGAACACCAGUGGCGAAGGCGGCUUUCUGGUCUGUAACUGACGCUGAGGCGCGAAAGCGUGGGGAGCAAACAGGGAUUAGAUACCCUGGUAGUCCACGCCGUAAACGAUGAGUGCUAAGUGUUAGGGGGGUUUCCGCCCCCUUAGUGCUGCAGCUAACGCAUUAAGCACUCCGCCUGGGGAGUACGGCCGCAAGGCUG